AAUCAACGUUGGCGGCGCGCCUAACACAUGCAAGUCGAACGAGAAAGUGGAGCAAUCCAUGAGUAAAGUGGCGUACGGGUGAGUAACACGUGGGUAAUCUACCUCUUGGUGGGGAAUAACGCUGGGAAACUGGCGCUAAUACCGCAUAAGUUCGUGAGAAGAAAGUCGCAAGACGCCGAGAGAGGAGCCCGCGGCCGAUUAGCUAGUUGGUAGGGUAAAAGCCUACCAAGGCUAUGAUCGGUAGCCGGCCUGAGAGGGCACACGGCCACACUGGCACUGAAACACGGGCCAGACUCCUACGGGAGGCAGCAGUGGGGAAUCUUGCACAAUGGGGGAAACCCUGAUGCAGCGACGCCGCGUGAGUGAUGAAGCCCUUCGGGGGUGUAAAGCUCUUUCGACAGGAACGAUAAUGACGGUACCUGGAGAAGAAGCUGCGGCUAACUACGUGCCAGCAGCCGCGGUAAU
rnacentral:rRNA from 1 species